GCCCCCAUCGUCUAGCGGUCUAGGACAUCUCUCUUUCAAGGAGAAGGCGGGGAUUCGACUUCCCCUGGGGGUA
rnacentral:tRNA from 1 species